rnacentral:rRNA from 1 species
GAUGAACGCUGGCGGCGUGCCUAAUACAUGCAAGUCGAGCGAACGGACGAGAAGCUUGCUUCUCUGAUGUUAGCGGCGGACGGGUGAGUAACACGUGGAUAACCUACCUAUAAGACUGGGAUAACUUCGGGAAACCGGAGCUAAUACCGGAUAAUAUUUUGAACCGCAUGGUUCAAAAGUGAAAGACGGUCUUGCUGUCACUUAUAGAUGGAUCCGCGCUGCAUUAGCUAGUUGGUAAGGUAACGGCUUACCAAGGCAACGAUGCAUAGCCGACCUGAGAGGGUGAUCGGCGACACUGGAACUGAGACACGGUCCAGACUCCUACGAGAGGCAGCAGUAGGGAAUCUUCCGCAAUGGGCGAAAGCCUGACGGAGCAACGCCGCGUGAGUGAUGAAGGUCUUCGGAUCGUAAAACUCUGUUGUUAGGGAAGAACAUAUGUGUAAGUAACUGUGCACAUCUUGACGGUACCUAAUCAGAAAGCCACGGCUAACUACGUG